UCAAGCUAAUAAGGGCGCAAGGGGAAUGCCUUGGCAUUGGAAGCCGAUGAAGGACGUAGCGAUCUACGAUAAGCCUCGGGGAGACGAAAGCAGUCAUCGAUCCGGGGAUUUCCGAAUGGGGAAACCCGUUAGAGCAAUACUCUAACAACUCUUUGUGAAUCAAAUAGCAAAUUGUGGGGAACCGCCUGAACUGAAACAUCUAAGUAGGGCGAGGAAAAGAAAUCAACCGAGAUUCCGCUAGUAGUGGCGAGCGAACGCGGAAGAGGCCAAACCAAGGGUAGUAAUACCUUUGGGGUUCGGACAGCAUACGGUAUUGGUAAUCGAUAGUAGAAUGAAAUGGGAAGUUCAACCAUAGAGCGUGAUAGUCGCGUAAACGAAAUUGAGAGCCAGCCAGCUGUAUCCAGAGUACCGCCGGACACGUGAAACCCGGUGGGAAUACGGGGGGACCACCCUCCAAGCCUAAAUACUCUCCAAUGACCGAUAGUGUAUAGUACUGUGAAGGAAAGGUGAAAAGAACCCCUGGCGGGGAGUGAAAUAGAACCUGAAACCUUGUGCCUACAAGCACAUAGAGCACAUCAACGUGUGAUAUGGUACCUUUUGUAGAAUGGUCCGGCGAGUAAAUGUCACUGGCGAGGUUAAGGACUUAAGGUCUGCAGCCGAAGCGAAAGCGAGUCUUAACUGGGCGAAUUAGUCAGUGGUAUUUGACCCGAAACCGAGUGACCUAGCCAUGAGCAGGCUGAAGUGGAGGUAAAACUCCAUGGAGGGCCGAACCCACUCCCGUUGAAAUGGUAGGGGAUGACUUGUGGCUAGCGGAGAAAUUCCAAUCGAACUCGGAGAUAGCUGGUUCUCUCCGAAAUAGCUUUAGGGCUAGCCUCAAUUAACAUUACCGAAGGUAAAGCACUGACUGAGCUAGGGGGCGAAAGCUUACUGAACUCUAUCAAACUAAGAAUGUCGGAUAAUGAAUGAUUGGGAGUCACACUACGUGAGAUAAGUUUCGUGGUGGAAAGGGAAACAGCCCAGACCCACAGCUAAGGUCCCAAAGUAUGGUUAAGUGGAAAAGGAUGUGAAGUUGCGCAGACAACCAGGAUGUUGGCUCAGAAGCAGCCACUCAUUCAAAGAGUGCGUAAUAGCUCACUGGUCGAGUGACUUUGCGCCGAAAAUUUAACGGGGCUAAACCAUACACCGAAGCUUGGGAAUAUAUGAUUUUAGGAUUGUAUGUUGGUAGGAGAGCGUCGUAUACGGGGUGAAGUCGUAGCGAAAGCGGCGGUGGACUGUAUACGAGUGAGAAUGCCGGAAUGAGUAGCGAGAAUUAUGUGAGAAUCAUAAUGGCCGAAAGACUAAGGUUUUAGAAGGAAGGUUCGUCCGCUUCUAGUUAGCCGGGAGCUAAGGCGAGGCCGAGAGGCGUAGUCGAUGCACAUACGGUUGAGAUUCCGUAGCCACCUUACAUUUAAACUAAGGGACACAUCGAAAGAGCAUAACCCAGGCGUUGGUUGACCUGGGCGUAAGGGAACGAAGAUUAGUAGGGAAGUAUGCUUAGACGGUGGCGAGAAAAGCUUAGUGUAUAUAAGUAGGGUGCCCGUACUGUAAACCGACACAGGUAGUCAGGAAGAGAAUUCUAAGGCCAACGGGAGAAGGGUUGUUAAGGAACUCGGCAAAUUGACCCCGUAACUUCGGAAUAAGGGGUGCUCACGAGAGUGAGCCGCAGUGAAUAGGUCCAGGCAACUGUUUAUCAAAAACACAGCUCUCUGCUAAAUCGUAAGAUGACGUAUAGGGGGUGACACCUGCCCGGUGCUGGAAGGUUAAGAGGAGGAGUGCAAGCCCCGAAUUGAAGCCCCAGUAAACGGCGGCCGGAACUAUAACGGUCCUAAGGUAGCGAAAUUCCUUGUCAGGUAAGUUCUGACCCGCA
rnacentral:rRNA from 1 species